GACUUGCCUGCCUGCAGUUUCGCCACAGCCUGCAUACCCAGAAGUGCAACUACUCUGCCAUUCCAGAACAAACCCGUUUUUCUGGUAAAAUGGCCGGCUGUUGUAUUUGCAAGGUCAACAGCCAUUUGGCAUGAUGUUGGGGGACUACUGGACAGCCAGCCUCACCAGGUGCCUCACUCCUGUUGGCUUCUAACCACCCCAUCUCCCGAGUUCCAACCCCCUCCUUGUUCUGGGGGCAACUCUGCAGACUGCAAUCUUCUCCGGGACCCAUUCUACAGGUAGUGCCCAGUACUGCCCUUUGUAGGUGACCAGAAGGGAGGACUCCGAGGCUCACCCCUCACCAAUGGAGUGACGAGGGCACUGGCCGGCUCUCCACAUUCAAGCAAAGGCAAAGGGGUGGGGACACAGGAGGCAACUGAUAGCAGGUGCAAGAAACCCCUUUAUUGGGCAAAGCCACCCUGUCCUUGGUCUGCAGGGGCUGGGGACAAGGACUGUGGAAAAGGGAACGGAGAUCUUUUAAUGUCAGGGACCCGUACAUUUCUCGAAAUGGGGCGGCGGAAGGCAGAAGGGGGGCUGGCCAGUCACACGGGGGCUCAGGCCUCCGCCUCGG